GCGGGAUAUGGAAGUGGUCUAUCCGCCAAGCCUCAUAAACUCGGAAUCGUGGGUUCAAAUCCCACUCCCGCUA
rnacentral:tRNA from 1 species